CAUAGGUUAAUGAGGCGAACCGGGGGAACUGAAACAUCUAAGUACCCCGAGGAAAAGAAAUCAACCGAGAUUCCCCCAGUAGCGGCGAGCGAACGGGGAGCAGCCCAGAGCCUGAAUCAGUGUGUGUGUUAGUGGAAGCGUCUGGAAAGGCGCGCGAUACAGGGUGACAGCCCCGUACACAAAAAUGCACAUACUGUGAGCUCGAUGAGUAGGGCGGGACACGUGGUAUCCUGUCUGAAUAUGGGGGGACCAUCCUCCAAGGCUAAAUACUCCUGACUGACCGAUAGUGAACCAGUACCGUGAGGGAAAGGCGAAAAGAACCCCGGCGAGGGGAGUGAAAAAGAACCUGAAACCGUGUACGUACAAGCAGUGGGAGCACGCUUAGGCGUGUGACUGCGUACCUUUUGUAUAAUGGGUCAGCGACUUAUAUUCUGUAGCAAGGUUAACCGAAUAGGGGAGCCGAAGGGAAACCGAGUCUUAACUGGGCGUUAAGUUGCAGGGUAUAGACCCGAAACCCGGUGAUCUAGCCAUGGGCAGGUUGAAGGUUGGGUAACACUAACUGGAGGACCGAACCGACUAAUGUUGAAAAAUUAGCGGAUGACUUGUGGCUGGGGGUGAAAGGCCAAUCAAACCGGGAGAUAGCUGGUUCUCCCCGAAAGCUAUUUAGGUAGCGCCUCGUGAAUUCAUCUCCGGGGGUAGAGCACUGUUUCGGCAAGGGGGUCAUCCCGACUUACCAACCCGAUGCAAACUGCGAAUACCGGAGAAUGUUAUCACGGGAGACACACGGCGGGUGCUAACGUCCGUCGUGAAGAGGGAAACAACCCAGACCGCCAGCUAAGGUCCCAAAGUCAUGGUUAAGUGGGAAACGAUGUGGGAAGGCCCAGACAGCCAGGAUGUUGGCUUAGAAGCAGCCAUCAUUUAAAGAAAGCGUAAUAGCUCACUGGUCGAGUCGGCCUGCGCGGAAGAUGUAACGGGGCUAAACCAUGCACCGAAGCUGCGGCAGCGACGCUGAUGCGUUGUUGGGUAGGGGAGCGUUCUGUAAGCCUGUGAAGGUGUGCUGUGAGGCAUGCUGGAGGUAUCAGAAGUGCGAAUGCUGACAUAAGUAACGAUAAAGCGGGUGAAAAGCCCGCUCGCCGGAAGACCAAGGGUUCCUGUCCAACGUUAAUCGGGGCAGGGUGAGUCGACCCCUAAGGCGAGGCCGAAAGG
rnacentral:rRNA from 1 species